AUACAGAGGUCUCAAGCGUUGUUCGGAUUCAUUGGGCGUAAAGGGUGCGUAGGCUGUAUGGUAAGUCAGAUGUGAAAUUUUAGGGCUCAACCCUGAAACUGCAUCCGAUACUGCCGUGCUAGAGGAUUGGAGAGGAGAUUGGAAUUCAUGGUGUAGCAGUGAAAUGCGUAGAUAUCAUGAGGAAGACCAGUGGCGAAGGCGAAUCUCUGGACAAAUCCUGACGCUGAGGCACGAAGGCUAGGGUAGCGAACGGGAUUAGAAACCCCUGUAGUCC
rnacentral:rRNA from 1 species